AGCCUGGGGGAGCUCAUCCAGGACCAGUUCUUCCGGGCCUGGGCCCUGGAGGAUGCCAUGGCGCUCAGGCACCUUCAUGUCUCCAUGGGGUUACUGAUGAGGAGGCGCUGAGUCCUGCUACCCCCAGUGCCCUGCUUUUGCCCUCGAAGCUCGCUGAAGGGGACCCAUCUCUGCAAGCCCACAGCCCUACCUGCAGCAUCCACAGCCUCAGAGAGCAGCGGGGCCCCUUACCCCUGAACCCCCUCCAAGAGCAUCAGGACAACAAGCCUUGAGCUGUGGAGACAAGAGAAUCAGUAUCCCUGGCCCAGGGAGGAUUCCAGGAGAGGACACGGGCAGGAGCCCUGGCCCAGAGCCAGAACCAAGAGUCCAGCCAGCGAAACUGGAACUAGGGUCCCCGGCACCCAGGACUCUGCGAGCAUCCCCCAACAGCAAGCCCUUCUGCAAGGGAGACGGGUUGGCCCACCCCAGGCUGUCCAGCUCCAGCAGCCUUGCAGGCAGCCUCUCCAGAAAAAGAGCCUGGUCCUCCCCACCCUGCUCCCCACAGGCUGUCCCUGACCCUGAGGCCCAGAGGCACAAGAGGACUUCUGUAGAGCCCAGGGGAGCAGGCUGUUCUCUUGGGGCCCCAGCGGGCUCAAGGUGUGGCCAGGCUGUCCCCAACUCAGGAUAGAUCAUAGGCUGUCCUGCGUACCUCCUCUGGAACUCCCUGCCCAAGCUCUGCCAUGGACCUGGACGUCAGGGGCCUGUGGUUUAACUUUGAAUAGGGAUUCUGGACCUUACACGUGUGCCCUGGACAGCCCCAGAACCAUGGGGUGGGGACCGACCCAGCAAGCCCACCGGGGCCCUGAAACCCGGCCCUGCCGGACACUGUGAUAAUAACCAAGAGGCAAGUCCAGAGACAUCCACUUUGCCCAAUGGCACCUGCAUCCAACUUCUCAGCAGGCAGUGACUGGCAUGGUGUGGGGGCAGCCGGGGCAGCACCUGGCCAGCACCUGGCCAGCUGCCCUGUAGCCCCCGAUGGCUCCAGUGCCUCUGGACCUCAUUUUCUACUUUCUACGGGGAAACCUACUCCCUCAGAGGCCACCAGAGGGAAGAGUGAGCAAGGCGUUCCUGCAGUCCCGACCAGCCAGCGGCAUGUCCUGUGGCCUCUGACUCAACCUAUGAGACAGAGCUCUGAUCCCAGGGCACACUUCCCAGGACACGGGGCCCAGCCUCAACCAGAGCCCUGUGAAGGGAGGGGCACCAGGAUGACCACAUGGGGGACCAUGGCGCUGCACACCUGGGCACUGUACUUCUCAUUGGAGAAUCCAGGCAAGAUCUUGAAGCAGGUGCAUGAGGUCCUGAGCCUGUGCAGCAAACAGCACUCAUCUGGGGUUGGCACGAAGGGGUCUACAGAGCCACGGCCACCGCAGCCUCUUCCCGGCCCCAUCUGUGCAGUGCAAGUGAUCCACGCCUGCUCCUAAACCCAGCCCAGCAAGCAGCAGCAGCCCGGGCCCCCAAGCCCGCCAGGCCAAUGUGCUGCCCAGAGGCUUCGAGGCCCUGCCCGCUGUACCUCCCACCACCUGGAAGCUGCCUCCUGACGCCUUCCAGCCACUGCUGCAGCCGCAACAGGUGUCGCGGCCAGUGCAGGCUUUCCAGACGGUGGCAGCGCCCAGCAGCCGUUGCCUCAGCUCUUUGGUGGCAGCCAGGCCAACAAGGGCAGCAACGAUGACUAGGAUGAUGAGUGAGCAAACAGCUCCACACUGGUGGACAGGCUGGGUGCGCACCCGGUGGUCCUCAAAGGCUCGCUGGGCCUGUACCACCGUUAUAAAUUUGAGAUCAUGAGAUUAUACCGUUUGCCUUCUUGCUUUUUGAAGUACGAGUAUUUUUAUGCACACUUUGUAGACUUCAAAAUCCAUGAAGAGUCUCAAAGAAGCCGGAUGGAUGGAGCCUGCUGCGGAUGCCUUUUACUCUCGUAGAUCAGGGUGAUUUACAUUCCACCUGUAGUCUGCUUGCAAACACACAGAGCAGCCUUGCAGCUUUGUGCCUUUAGACUCUUGGUUUUGCAUUUCUCCCUGCUCCCUUCUUCCUUCCAGUAAGCUGCAACUUUUCUGAUUGAAAGGGUGCAAGGCUAACACACGGAAUGACUAACUCAGGAUCACAUACUGGCAGUGGGAGAGGCAGGAGGAGCAGCUGCCAUCAAUUGCCAGGGCCAAGUGGAUGAUAGGAUGGAUGCUGGUGCAUGCGGAGGAGGCAGACGCAACGCUCAUCUCUAAUAAUGAUGUCUGUUCCCUCAGAGGCGGCUAGAGCAUCACCUCUUCACGCAAGUGUCUUGAAACUCAGCUUGAAGAUUUCAGCAAAUGUGUCUUACAGAGAAGAGAAGAGGGAGUCAGCCCAUCGGGAUUAAAAAUAUAGAGGCAGUGACAACACACACUCGGCUUCAGUUCUUAGGAGAGUUUUGGUUUUGAUUUUUUUUUUUUUUUUGGAGAAGAUUUUUUUUUUAAUGGAUCUACACUGUUAACUGAGACUCUGUUGAGAUUCACUGGUUUACUUAAAAACUUCUCAGGGAUGUCUGUAAAUUUCAGUGUUAUAUGUCAUGAAAACUGGUGUGGGCAGAUCUGUUGGUUGAAAUAAUUUCUACUGUUUCAAAUACUGAAGGCAGGAAUAAUUGGUUUAUACUGUGUUUUAAAUAGAAGUAUUACUGGUAAGUCCCCCAGGACAUUAAACCUUAAAAAUCAGUUUUAAGCUAUUAUUAUUGUAAGAGAAAUACAAAUGGCUGGAAAAUGCCACAGAGAUUCAAAAGCUGCUUAAUUGAAAGAGCAGGAAGGGAUUCUGGCUUGCAAUGCCAAAGUUUCAAUGUUUUUGUAGUUACUGAGCUAAAUCAUAUGGUAAUUGACAGUUUCUAAAUCUGUCACCUAAAGGUUAAAUUAUCUACUGUUGCCGUGAAGUCAAACUUACUGCUGCCUCAGAAAUCCCUGGGUACCGCGAUGGUCAUACAGAAGUAAGGAAGUCAAUUUGAAAUGUCAGUGAGUCAAAAUGAUUAAAGAGGCCAGGUGCAGUGGCUCACGCUUGUAAUCCCAGCACUUUGGGAGGCUGAGGCAGUGGAUUGCUUGAGUCCAGGAGUUUGAGAUCAACCUGUGCGACAUGGCAAAACCCUGUCUCUACAAAAAAUACAAAACAAAUUUAUCCAGACCUAGUGGUGCGCGCCUGUAUAGUUCCAGCUAGGGGGCUGAGGUCGGGGGAUGGCCUGAGCCUGGGAAGUCAGGGCUGCAGUGAGCCGAGAUGGCACCACUGCACUCUGGCCUGGGUGACACAGCCAGACCCUGCCUUAAAAAAAAAAAAAAAAAAAAAAAAGAUUUAAAAAACGGUCUGUUUAUUUAAAAAGAAAAGUGAAAUAAUGCCCAACAGUACAUUUACUCUCUUUUCAGGCUGGGUGCGCUGGCUCACGCCUGUAAUCCCAGCACUUUGGGAGGCCAAGGCAGGCAGAUCACCUGAGGUCAGGAGUUCGAGACCAGCCUGGUCAACAUGGCAAAACCCCGUCUCUACUAAAAAUAUAAAAAUUAGCCAGGCAUGGUGGUGCAAGCCUAUAAUCACAGCUACUUGGGAGGCUGAACCAAGAGAAUCACUUGAACCCAGGAGGUGGAGGUUGCAGUGAGUUGAGAUCACGCCACUGCACUCCACCUGGGCAACAGAGUAAGACUCUGUCUCAAAAAAAUAAUAAUAAUAAUUUCAUAUGGGUUAAAUUUUAAGGUCAGAUGAUCACAAUUUUGAUAUUUUGUCUAAUUUUAUACCUUAGGUGACUUAGAGCCUGAUUUAACGUGACUUUGUCUUGACUACGGAUACGUGGAACUGCAGCCAAAUAUAUUGUUCUGUUUUUAAAAAACAACAAAAAAAAAACCUGCUUCAGUUACUAGGACUGAAGAAAACUGGGCAAAGGGGGGCCCAGGAGGCUAGGUCCCUACAUCUGCCAUUCUUGGCAGCUGCAUUUCACGGUUAGAAAAACUCAGGAAAUAGCCGGGCGUGGUGGCUCACGCCUGUAAUCCCAGCACUUUGAGAGGCCGAGGCAGGUGGAUCACCUGAGGUCAGGAGUUCGAGACCAGCCUGGCCAACAUGGG
rnacentral:lncRNA from 1 species